CUAGAAUGACUCUUGCUAUCCUUUAUAGUUGUGUAUGUGAAUAUCUAUAAAUGAUAUAGAUUAUAUACUCACUAUAUAUUUGUUAUCCUGCUAGAGUCAACAUAGACUUCUAGAGAUUCUUUCUAAAACUUUGUUUUUUUGCGUUACUGAGGAUUGAACCCAGGGAUUUUACACUACGUUAUAUCCUCACCCUUUUUUAUUUGUAGGUUUUGCUGCAGUGCUGAAUUUCCCACAUGAGGCUCAGACUUGGAGCCCUCCUGCCUCCGCCUCUCAGAGUUCUCAGAUUACAGGUGUGUUUGCUUCAGGAUGUACACGGAAGGCGAGGCUAAGAAGAUGGGCGUCGUUGGCUGGGUGAAGAACACCAGCAAAGGCACUGUGACAGGACAAGUGCAGGGCCCCGAGGAGAAGGUCGAUUCCAUUGCUGUGGUUUGAACCCAAGGCUUUAUGCAUGCUAGGCAAGUGUUCUGCCGACUGAGUUAUAUCCCCAGUACCUUUAAAAAUAUUUUUUAUUUUGAGGCAUGAUCUAACUAAAUUACCUAGUCUGACCUCAAACCAGUGAUCUUCUGCCUCAGCCUCCUGAGCAGCUGGGAUUAUAGGGAUGCACCAUCACUCUUGGAACUACUGUUACUUUUUGUUUUAGUCAUCAAAACAUUUAUGAGUUCUUUAAAGUUUUAUAGUGAACUAUAACACACAUCUGAUAUAAUUGUGCAGGUUAAUGAAAUUUCACAGGUUAAUGAAUUAUAAUAAAGCAGAUUAUGUCUUGCCAUCUGGUAGGCAAGUUAUUUCAACUUAUUCUUCUAGAUUGUCUUGAGUGUUCUAAUACCUUUGCAUUACCAUGAAAGUUUUAGCUCAAGUCACCAAGUUCCAAAAAACAACCUGUUAGAAUUUUGCUGAAAUUGCGCUGAAUGUAUAGAUAAAUUUGUGAAGAAUUUAUCCCCUAAAUGUAAUAAAUCUCUCAUUUAUUUGUUCUUGGUUUCUUUAAAUGGUAUAUUAUGAUUAUCUGCAUAAAUGUCUUACAUAUUCCCCCCACCAGAUAUUUGAUGGCUUUAGUGUGUUAAAAAUACUAGUUAAAUACUUUAUUUUGCUAAUUGGUAAUGUAUAGAAAUCCAAUUGAAUUUUACGUAUUGCCAUAUUUGCAACAACUUUGCUAAACUUACCUGUUGAUGCUAAUUAUAUAUUGAUUUUUUUUAGUUUUCUAUGUACAUGAUCCUCUAUAUACAGCAUUGUCUGAGAAUAGUGAGUACUUUAUUUCUCCCAUUUCCAGUAAUUUUAUUUUUUAUUUCUUUUUCCUGCCAUACUAAAUUGAUUGGAUUUUCAAGUACAAUACUGAAUAAAAAUGCUAUUAAUAAUA